CCCUAUUAUUUUGGAACGUUAAUUGUUUUUGUGCCUGAGUAGUAUUAGUUAUGUUCUUGAAACUUAAAGAAUUUGGCGGUAUCUCAUUCCGUCCAGAGGAAUCUGUCUCGUUAUCGAUAGUCCACGUUGGACCUUACUUAGUUGAAUUUGGUUUGUAUACCGCCGUUUAUUGAUUAUCUUUUUAGGGUCUUUAAUUUUCUGGUUUCUUUAUUUUGAUUUAUUUCAGGUCAAGGUGCAGCUUGUUUCUAAGUGGAAUGAUGGAUUACAUUGUUAUUUGUUUGUGGAUUGUUGGAUUUAAAGGGUAUCUGCAUGAAAUUGGAUUUGGUUGUAAUUGUUUGUAGAUUGUUAUUGUGAUAGGUGGUUCUGGGAUAUGCACACAUCGCCCGUCGCUCUCGUUUGUUGUUAAUGAGAUAAGUC
rnacentral:rRNA from 1 species